rnacentral:tRNA from 1 species
UCCCUGGUGGCUCAGUGGUAAAGAAUCUGCCUGCGAUGCAGGAGACACAGGUUCAAUCCCUGAGUUGGGAA